GCUUGAAGAAUCCAGGGCUUAAUUAAAACCAGAGGCGACUAAACCCCGAAGCAGUUGCAUAUGUACGCAAUAACACUUGCAAGUUUGAGCAUCGAAAGCAAAACCAGUGGGUUAUGGAAACGAAGGAGCGAAUGUUUGUGGCGGCGGUGGACGAGAGCGAGAAGAGCAUGUAUGCACUGUCAUGGUGCAUCACCAAUCUCAUGUCCCCUGCACAAAACUACAAGCUUGUGCUUCACUAUGUCAAGCCGCCGCCGCCUGCUCUUUACUCCUACUUCGACGCUGCGGGUUCUACUUGUUAAUUUAUUGUUGUUGUUGUCAACUCAAGGCUACACUUUCCCUUGGGUUUCACUGGCUAAUUUUUGGUGUUAAUAGUGGUUUGAUGUCUAAAGGGCAUAUAUUUGCCGGCGAUUUUGCCGUGGCUAUGGAAAAGUACGGCCGGGAAUUGGCUGAUUCAGUAAUGGAAAGAGCUGAAGCCAUUUGCAGGAAAUUGAACACCACCAAUAAUGUAAUCGCAUGCAUGCGUCCUUGAGCUUUAUUCAUUUGAUGUCCUCCUUCUUAAUUGAAGAGGGCGUGUGUGUUGUGUAUUCUCUGAAGAAGGGUUCAUACAGAUGAACACGGAGAGUGAUAGAGACCGGAGAAGCAAAGGAUGUGAUAUGAAGUACAGUGCAGAAACUGAAGGCUGACAUCUGGUCAUGGGAAGCCAUGGGCGCUCCUAGGAAGUGUCAGCGAUCACUGUGCCCAGCACGCCAAGUGUCCUGUUGUGGUUGUAAAGCACCCAUGAGGAGAAUUUCUUCGUUUGCAGCUACAUCUUAUCCGGAAGCAGAUUGGUGCGUUUACCUUCAGCUUGUAUUCAGCCUGAAAACACAGAUCUGGUUUACUAGCUUGUCCAUGUAUGUUGUGUAUAAAUGUAACAAAAUGUAGAGCCUGCAGACAGAUUAGAGAUUUCUUGAAUGCAUAGUGAUAAAUAAUACCCCCUUUUUCCAAAUUA